rnacentral:rRNA from 1 species
AUUGAACGCUAGCGGGAUGCCUUACACAUGCAAGUCGAACGGAGUGGCGAACGGGUGAGUAAUGUAUCGGAACGUGCCCAGUAGCGGGGGAUAACUACGCGAAAGCGUAGCUAAUACCGCAUACUAUUGGAGCGGCUGCUAUCGGAUUAGCUAGUGGGUGGGGUAAUGGCCCACAAAGGCGACGAUCCGUAGCCGGUUUGAGAGGACGACCAGCCACACUGGGACUGAGAAACGGCCCAGACUCCUACGGGAGGCAGCAGUAGGGAAUUUUGGACAAUGGGGGAAACCCUGAUCCAGCAAUCCCGCGUGUGCGAUGAAGGCCUUCGGGUUGUAAAGCACUUUUGGCAGGAAAGCGGUACCUGCAGAGUAAGCACCGGCUAACUACGUGCCAGCCGCCGCGGUAAUUC